GAUGAACGCUGGCGGCGUGCUUAACACAUGCAAGUCGAACGAAAAGGCUCCUGCUUGCAGGGGUACUCGAGUGGCGAACGGGUGAGUAACACGUGGGUGAUCUGCCCUGCACUUCGGGAUAAGCCUGGGAAACUGGGUCUAAUACCGGAUAGGACCACAUUUUGGAUGGUGUGGUGGAAAGUUUUUCGGUGUGGGAUGAGCUCGCGGCCUAUCAGCUUGUUGGUGGGGUAAUGGCCUACCAAGGCGUCGACGGGUAGCCGGCCUGAGAGGGUGUACGGCCACAGUGGGACGGAGAUACGGCCCAGACUCCUACGGGAGGCAGCAGUGGGGAAUAUUGCACAAUGGGCGCAAGCCUGAUGCAGCGACGCCGCGUGGGGGAUGACGGCCUUCGGGUUGUAAACUCCUUUCGCUAGGGACGAAGCGUUUUUGUGACGGUACCUGGAGAAGAAGCACCGGCUAACUACGUG
rnacentral:rRNA from 1 species